UGGGGAAUCUUGCACAAUGGGCGAAAGCCUGAUGCAGCAACGCCGCGUGCGGGAAGACAGCCCUAGGGUUGUAAACCGCUUUCAGCAGGGAAGAAAAUGACGGUACCUCCAGAAGAAGCACCGGCUAACUACGUGCCAGCAGCCGCGUAAUACGUAGGGUGCAAGCGUUGUCCGGAAUUAUUGGGCGUAAAGAGCUCGUAGGCGGUCCGUUGCGUCUGCCGUGAAAACCCGGAGCUCAACUCCGGGCCUGCGGUGGAUACGGGCGGACUAGAGUCCGGUAGGGGAGACUGGAAUUCCUGGUGUAGCGGUGGAAUGCGCAGAUAUCAGGAGGAACACCGGUGGCGAAGGCGGGUCUCUGGGCCGGAACUGACGCUGAGGAGCGAAAGCGUGGGGAGCGAACAGGAUUAGAUACCCUGGUAGUCCACGCCGUAAACGGUGGGCGCUAGGUGUGGGGAUCGUUUCCACGAUC
rnacentral:rRNA from 1 species